GAUCAUGGGCUCAGGACGAACGCUGGCGGCGUGCUUAACACAUGCAAGUCGAACGAGAAUCUGUGGAACGAGGAUUCGUCCAAGUGAAGCAGAGGACAGUGGCGGACGGGUGAGUAACGCGUGAGGAACCUGCCUUUCAGAGGGGGACAACAGUUGGAAACGACUGCUAAUACCGCAUGACACAUAGAUGUCGCAUGGCAUUUAUGUCAAAGAUUUAUCGCUGAAAG
rnacentral:rRNA from 1 species